rnacentral:miRNA from 1 species
AUGAGCACCUUAUCCAUAGAG